rnacentral:lncRNA from 1 species
GUUUAAAAACAGUAAAACCAUUUCUGUCAUUUUUUAGUUCUUCUAUCGUAGCAUCUGUACUGACAUAAUCCGCACUUUAGGGUGAUGAAUGUCAAUUGCUACUUCUAUCUAGCCUCCUGCCAAAAUUGAUGCUCAGAAUCGCAGAAUCGGGGAGGUCCCUCCUGAGCAUCUCUAAGCUCCCCACUCAGAAAAGGAGGCGGCUUCGGGCUUUCGUUGGCUGCCGCCCCAUCCCUAAGAAGGAAGGGGAGCGUGUCUGCUUCCUGAAGGUUCGGAAAUCAAUCGAAAAUAAUCCAUGCAACCGUCCCACGACGUGAGCCCCACCCCUGCGCCCCAGGCCUCGCGGAGCCAGUUGGUCGCAGUUGUUGCGAGCCCGACGCCCAGCCCCGAAGGGGGCCCAGAAGAGCGUCCCAGGCGUCCGUGGGGUGGCCGGCUGUGGUCCUGGCGCCCAGAAGUGGCCAGGCCCGCUGGAUUUCCUGGGAUGCGGUCAAGUCCACAAAUACUGUCCGUGCAUCCUGAUGCUGGAGGGCGGGACCUUGGGCCGAGCGAGUGUGGCUCCGCCAGAAGGGCCCUCGGACACAACCGGUGCUGGAGGAACUACAAAGUGGAAGGAUUAGGAAACGCACAGGAACAUGUACGAAAGAAGGCGAAAUGUGAGGUGUAACUUACAUUUCUAGGAUAACUCAAGAAAAAUUCGCGUUUAAAGAGAACCUCUCUGGCGAAGCAUCAGGAAAGGCUUCCUGGUGGUGGUGCAUUCGAGGGUUGUCAUCAUAGUGUUAGUUUUUAUUUUUCCCUCAGGGAUUGUUACAUUACUCCCCCAAAUGGUUUUCCUACUCGUGAUCUCUAACAAAAUCCAUCCCAUAAGCAACCCCCGGAUUUAUGAUCUAAAAAGCCCAGUGGCUCUUUAGUUUGGCACUUGAUGACCUCCGUAUGAUUAGUCUUUCUAACCUCAUCUCACAGUUCUCCCUAAUUCAGUACUUUAAUCUUCCGUUGAGCUUGGGCAUUGCCACCAGCUGUGGACUGAACUAUUUCCCUCCUCCCCCAAUCCAUAUGUUAAAGCCCUACCCCACCCCAAUAUGUUGGUAUUUGGAGAUGGAGCCUUUGGGAGGUAAUUCAAUUUAGAUGAGGUCACCUUGGUGGGUCGCCCAUGGCGAGAUUAGUGCCCUUAUGAGAAAAAACAACGAAGAGCUUGUUCUCCUCUGUGUGCCAUGUGAGGACAGAGCAAGAAGGGGCUUUCACCUGGAACCCAAACUGCCCCAUCUUUAUCUGGGACUUAGCCUCCAGAAUUGAGAGAAGUAAAUGUCUGUUGUUAUAGCCA